GGUGGCUAAUACCGGAUGUGCCGAGAGGUGAAAGGCUUGCUGCCUGGAGAUGAGCUCGCGACUGAUUAGCUAGUUGGUGGUGGACGGGACUACCUUGGCGACGAUCAGUAGCUGGUCUGAGAGGAUGAUCAGCCACACUGGGACUGAGACACGGCCCAGACUCCUACGGGAGGCAGCAGUGGGGAAUUUUCCGCAAUGGGCGAAAGCCUGACGGAGCAAUACCGCGUGAGGGAGGAAGGCUCUUGGGUUGUAAACCUCUUUUCUCAAGGAAUAAGUUCUGAAGGUACUUGAGGAAUAAGCAUCGGCUAACUCCGUGCCAGCAGCCGCGGUAAUACGGAGGAUGCAAGCGUUAUCCGGAAUGAUUGGGCGUAAAGAGUCCGUAGGUGGUUGUGAAAGUCUGCGGUCAAAGAGCAAGGCUCAACCUUGUAAAGGCAGUGGAAACUACACAGCUAGAGUGCGUUCGGGGCAGAAGGAAUUCCUGGUGUAGCGGUGAAAUGCGUAGAGAUCAGGAAGAACACCGGUGGCGAAAGCGUUCUGCUAGGCCGCAACUGACACUGAGGGACGAAAGCUAGGGGAGCGAAUGGGGAUUAGAUACCCCGGUAG
rnacentral:rRNA from 1 species